CAGUUCAUCAUUUCACCAGCAGCUGAACAACUCUACUGUUCUGUUCAAUUAGAAAAAGAAGAUUCUGGAAGAUGAAUUUUCUUCUUCUUGCUCUAGCCUGUUUGGUUUCUGCUGCUGAGGAACCCUUACCGUUUUCAGGGAAAUUCCAUACUAUCUACCUAGCAAGUAAAUCUGUGGGUGCAAUAGCAGAAAAGAGCCCACAGCGUAUGCUGAUGCGUGAGGUUCAGUUUUUUAAGGAAUACAGUGUCAUGAGCAUGACGUUCUAUGUGAGCAAUUGGAGCAAAUAUCACUGAAGAAAUGUGGGAAGAAUAUGUGAAGGUGACUAAGUUUGUCCAAAUUCCUACUAAAAAUAUUGAAAAUGUCUAUGAAACAGAUGUGUGCCCUAAAUAGGAGCCUUGAACUCGAGGAGACAAAUUGUAUUAGUCAGUAUUGUUGAUUCAUUGGAAUUAAAUUUAUAUGUUGAUUGAUUACAAAUGUAUUCACAACUGUCAUUCAUGGGUUUCUGUACUCCCUAUUGUUAUGGAAUAUGGUUAAUUACUUUAUGUAAGAUUAAGUGAAUUGAUUUCAACAUUGUAAAAGUGUUUUCCAUAAAGUACCCAAUGCAGAUCAA